GUGGUUAGGUCACUAUUUUCUCGAGAUAACGAUUAUUGUUUUUGUAUAUAAACUCAGGUUGAAUGUCAAUAAGUAUUGUUGUUGUUGGUGAACUGACUAGCAAAGACUGAUUUGUUACUCAUUACUUGUUAAGAUGAAAUUCUUCAGCGUGUUCUUCAUGGUCAUCCUCGCUCUCUUGGGGCUCCAAGGAGCAUUCGCUUGCAUAGCCAACCGCAAUGGUUGCCAACCUGACGGUAGUCAAGGAAACUGUUGUUCAGGAUUCUGCCACAAGGAACCUGGAUGGGUUGCAGGAUAUUGCAAAUAAAACAUGACGAUAAAUCUAUUUACAUAAUUAUUUACAAAUAUAUGUGUUUGUUUUA